UCCAUAGGUUAAUGAGGCGAACCGGGGGAACUGAAACAUCUAAGUACCCCGAGGAAAAGAAAUCAACCGAGAUUCCCCCAGUAGCGGCGAGCGAACGGGGAGGAGCCCAGAGCCUGAAUCAGCAUGUGUGUUAGUGGAAGCGUCCGGAAAGGCGCGCGAUACAGGGUGACAGCCCCGUACACAAAAGCGCAUGUGCUGUGAGCUCGAUGAGUAGGGCGGGACACGUGGUAUCCUGUCUGAAUAUGGGGGGACCAUCCUCCAAGGCUAAAUACUCCUGACUGACCGAUAGUGAACCAGUACCGUGAGGGAAAGGCGAAAAGAACCCCGGCGAGGGGAGUGAAAAAGAACCUGAAACCGU
rnacentral:rRNA from 1 species